ensembl:lncRNA
CGUACGCACUAUAUAUAUCUAUAUAUAUAUAUACGUGCUACCCUCCAAGUGGUAAUUAUCACUCUCACAUCAUUAUGCAUUAUAUGUAUCACACUUCGGAUACAUUACCAGGUUUUAAGAGAUCAUGAAAAAGUAAAACUAGAAUGGGAUAAACAAAGAAAAAGAAUAAAAGAGAAAACAAAAAAAAAUGAAACUUUAGCUGACCAGUCAGAAAAAUAUAGAGAAAAAAACGAGGUAAAGCUAAAAAAAAAAAAAAAAAAAAAAAAAAAAAAAAAAAAAAAAAAAAAAAAUAAAAGAUAUAACACAUAUACAUACGCGUAAGUAUGAUAUGAUCAUAAUAUCAUUACAUACUAACAUAUUCUAUGCUUGUACCAUUUAUUUUUUUUUUUUUUUUCUUACGCUUAAAAAAUAAAAUAUAUACAUACAUAUAUUUGAUAGCUAAACACUGUGAUUGAGUACUUAAACAUAGAAGAUAAGAAAAGAACAAAUUGGGUUGAUAAUUUAAGGUAUGGAACUGAAAAAAUAAAAUUCAAAGACACAGUUAAACGCAUAGACGUAAAUCAAGUUGUUAGUCAAAACAAAGAAACAAUAUUUGAUAACGUGUUUAAAAUAGAUGAUCAAGAGCAUGAACGAACAAAGAAACAGGAUGAUGUCAAAACAAGUGGUGAAUAUAUAUACAUAACAAACAAGGAGAAAAAAAAAAAAUACUAUGAAAAUGUUAUUAAUGAAAAAAUAAAAAAUAAUUUAGAAUUCUUUUUAUCUAAUUUUGCUGUUCCAGUUGACAAUAGUUUAUAUGUUAAGGGACAGGGUAUAGAAGUUCCUCAGAACGAAUUAGACAAUGUCAGCUUGGAGCAUAUCCAGGAGGGGCAAACCAAAGAAGGGCAAACCAAAGAAGGGCAAACCAAAGAAGGUGAAAGCAAAGAAGGUGAAAGCAAAGAAGGGGACAGCAAAGAAGUAAAUGGUGAAGAAGAGUAUAAUAAUAUGGACAAAAUUUGUAUAAACGGACAAGAUCCAUUACAGCUCUUUAUUUAUGACAAUGUAAAAAAUAAAUGGAAACUAGAUAGAUCUACAACAUUAGCAAAAGAUAUUUAUUUAGACAUACAAGAUACGGGAAAUAAAAUAAUAAACAAGUCUAUAUUAUUAAAAAAUAAUACAACAGAUAUUAUUCUUUAUAAAAUUCAACACAAACAAAAAAUGAAUAUAAAAAAUAAUAUAAUAAACUUAAAAGAUGUUCUAUAUUUUGACACUAACAAAAAUUAUGAAAUCUUAUUUUCUCCUGAUACCGGUUAUAUAGAACCAAAAAAAACUGUAAAAAUUAAUUUUACUUUUAUUUUUUCUUUUUUUGUUAAUUCCUUUGGUUAUUUUAUGAUUAAAUAUUUGUAUGGAGGCGAAAUUUGUAAAAAAUAUAUAUACGUUUGUGUAGAUUCGUUUUAUGGGCCUAAGCAUGGUGGGUAUCUAGUUGAUGAAUCAGGAUAUGACAAGUCACAGGAUGUCGAGUCACAAAAUGAAACAAAUAGAGACCUCGACACAGAUAGAGACCUCGACAUAGAUAGAGGCCCUCCCGAAAUUAACACCAACUGUUUAGCAAAACAAAACAAAAUCAAACUAAACAAAUACCAACUGUGUGAUAUUAUUAAUAACAUAAACUGCAGUUAUAAUUUAAAUAUACAUGAAAAAAAUAUAAUUAGUUUUUUAAAAAUGUUAAAAAACAAAAAAUAUAACGUUUGUUUAAAUUUGGAAGGGAUAAAGAGUGAUUCCUUGGUUGAUUUGGAGGGUAUAGAUUAUAGUAAAAUAGAUAGUGAUAGUGAUAGUCAUAUAAGUGAUAGUGUCAAUGACAGCAUAGACGGUAGUAGAGAUGAUUACGUAAUACUUUUUUGCACGGACGAAAAAGAACAUAAAAAAAAAAAUCAUAAUAAUAAAAAUAACUCAAUUAAAAAUAACUGUAUUAAUAACUAUGAAUUAAACAAAAAAAUUAAUUUAUUUUUCAAUCAUAUACAAUUAAAAUUUCGAUCCACCUUUGACACUCAUUCUGCUAGCGAUUACUCUACUACUAUGUUUGAUUCUUUUAUUACAUAUUUAGAUAUAUAUAGAAACAUAUUUAUUGAUUUUAAUAUAAAUUGCAUACUUAAUCCUUAUAAAAGGGAGGGAAAUACCAUAAACCAGAUUGUAUAUUUUGAAAACGGGAAAGCAAAAAGGAUAACAUUAAAAGGGGAUAGCAAUAGUGGUAGUAGUAGUAGUAGUAGUAGUAGUAACAGCAGCAGCAGCAGUAGUAGUAGUAGUAAUAAUAAUAAUAAUAAUAGUGGCACAAACAAAACGAACAGUGCUAGUGGUAUAAGUAGUACGAUCUCCACUAAUAGUAAUGACGAGCGUGAGCAACACACAUACUUACUAAAACAACAACAAUCAUUAGCUAGUUUAUCAAACAAUUUUAUUUCUUUAUGUAAAAACUUUAAUAAGUCACAAUAUCAGUGGCAUCAUUUGUUUCGUCACAUCAUACAACAGUAUGUUAAUAAUUUGUUCCAUGUAGAUGAUGUUUAUAAAGACGUUUUUCAGAAUAGUCAAACGAAUGGUAAAGCAAAUGCUGCAUCUAACAACAACACUUGUGUCAACAUUAGUAAAAACAUCGAUGAGAAACAUAACGGUCAUAAAAAAAAAAAAACAAACAAACACAACAAGCCAACACAUGAUAUUGAAAAAGAAAAUGAGUUGAAUAACAUGUCCAACUUAAACACAAUUAAAAACAUGUUUAAAAGUAGAUUUACAUAUACAUAUGCAUCAAUUAAAAAGGAAAACAUUUAUUCUCGUUUUAUAAAUUUAAUUUAUGAGCAAAAUAAAUUAAACAACGUUUCGGUAUUUUAUUUUUAUACAUACUUAAAUAUGAUUAAAUUCAUUAAACAAUUAUUUAUAGAACAAAAUUUAUGUUUUUAUAAAAACAUACAUGAACAGCACAAUAUUUUUAUACAAGCAAAUACAAAAUUACUAAAGCAUAUUUUGCUUUAUGUACACAUUUUAUAUGAACAAAAAAAAAAUAGUCAUAAUCAUGGUGACAUUUUUUAUAAAAAAAAAUUAAACAAUCUACUGGUAGACGCACUUACUAGCUAUUUUUAUUCUCUUUUUGUAUAUCUAAAAAAUAAUAGCAAAAAGAUUUUUGUUUUUCUCGAUAGUUGGCAUAUCAAAACUUGUUUUUCUAAUAAAAGUAAACCAAAAAAUGAUGAAGCCUUUGAUUGUUAUUUUGUUCAAAAUGUAUUUUUUUAUAUAUGUUUUCCUUUUUUAAAAAAUAAAAUAAAAGAAUAUUCUUUAACUGAUUGUAAUUUGCAUUUUAUAACAAACGAGGUGGACGCAAAUUUGUUUUUUUCAAAUGACUUUUAUAGUCAAAAUUGUUAUGUUAAUCAACAACACGAAAACGGGAUAGUAGUAUUGGGAGUAGCAGGGAAAGUAGUAGAUGGGAAUGGCAAUGGGAAUGGCAAUGGGAAUGGGAAUGCCGUCAAAGGAAAUUCAUGUACAGAAGAACCAGUAACAUAUACGGUUAUUAGUGAGACUACACAAAAUGCUACUGUUAAUAAAAACAUGAACAAUAGUAUUGACAAUGCGCUUAAUUCGGAACAGAUAAAUAUGUAUGACGCGGGGGAAAAGGAAAGUAAAAAAAAGGAAAAAAAAGAAAAAAAAAAAAAAGAAGAAAAAAAAGAAAAAGAAGAAAAAGAAGAAAAAAAAGAAAAAGAAGAAAAAAAAGAAAAAGAAGAAAAAGAAGAAAAAGAAGAAAAAGAAGAAAAAGAAGAAAAAAAAGAAAAAAAAGAAGCAGAACUUGUUUCUUUUUUAAAAGACAUAACAAACUGGAACGAUUAUGGUAGUGAAAAUUUGACAUCGACCUCGAUACAUGCGCACAAUAUAACUAGUGCUAUGAAUUCUGCACAUAUUGCAACUACUGAAUUUACUGCCACUGGUAUUGGUACUCCUAAUAUAGACAGUGCUACAUCACUCGAAAGGGAACCCAAAACAGAACCCAAAACAGAACCCAAAACAGAACCCAAAACAGAACCCAAAACAAAACCCAAACAGAACCAAGUACACAAAUCCAAUAAAGAUAUUUUUUUUAUUUUUGACCAGAAGCUUUUUGUUAAAACAAUGUAUAAAAAGUAUCUUGAAAAGCUAGAAAAAAAUGCAGAAGAAAGAUUAAAAGUAUUAAAAGCUUUACUAGAGGAAAAAAAAAACGCCGAAUGUGCUAAACUGCAUACGGCAGAAACGGGCAUGAAGGAUAUGGUAGCACAAGAUAUGGACCAACAAGAAAGCCAUAUCAAUAAACGCGAUGUAACAGCACCAAUAAAAGACACGAGUGAUAACAAAAAUGAAAAGGAAAAAGAAAAAGGUAAAAAAAAGGAUAAAAAAAAGGAUAAAAAAAAGGAUAAAAAAAGUGGGGAAAGUAAAGAGAGCAAACACAAAGAGGGUAGAAAAAAAAUCGAAACGAAUGAUACAAAUGAUAUUAGCAUAACUGAAAAUGAAACGGUAAUUGAAAAUCCAAACUUAUUAAACUACUUUUUUACUAGAUUAUUUGAUAUAUUUAAUGUACAUACAUAUGUUAUAGAUGAUACCAAAAUUAUAAAAAUAAUAAAAAAAAUGAAGUUAUCAAAAAAUAUACAUAUUAAAAUUGGCCACAUUUUGAAUAAAAUAAUUUAUUUUAUUCUUUUUAUUUUUAAUUUUAUAUCUCUAGAACAUGUUAAUUUAUUUUUCACAAAAGUAGAAAAACAUAUAACAUUUUAUAAUUUUUUUCUAUUUGUUGAUUAUAUAAAGUAUAACUAUUCUGAUUUGUUACGUUUAUUUCGUUCUAUAUUAACAUAUUUUGACAUGCAAAAUGAUAUGAAUAAAGUUCAUUGGGGUAUUAGUAUACCUCUGAGAGUGGGGUUCGAUUUUUUACAACUUCCACCAGAAAAAGAUAAAGUUAGUAGUAGUGUAGAAAAUGAAUCUGGAAAUGAUAUGGUGGUACCAACAUGUCAGUCGGAAAAACAUAAAACUGCAUCAAACAGAGCAAUUACAGCAACUAGAGCAGUUACAGCAACUAGAGCAAUUACAGCAACUAGAGCAAUUACAGCAACUAGAGCAAUUACAGCAACUAGAGCAAUUACAAAUAUCGCAACCACAACCAAUAUAAACUUUAGUAACAUAAAAGCAGAAUAUAUUCAACUGCUUAACAACAAAAAACAAAUGACUCAAAAUGAUAAAUACAUUUGCAUUAUAUCUCCUAAAAUAAAAAAUGACAUACUAAAUCUAACAAACAUAAAAAAUAUAUUAGAAUGGAUUAAAUUACUAAACGUAAUUGUAUUUUUAAAUGUGUCUGAUUUAUAUAUUUGUGGGCAACUCUUUUUGUUAUUUUUGUUUUUCAUUUAUGAUAGAUGUAUUCUGAAAGGAAGAGUAUGUAAAAAUAAAAAAAAUCAUUUUUAUUUUAUUCAAGUAGAACCAAAUAAAAGUAUAACACAAAAGAACAAAUGUAAAUCGUUUAAUAAAAAAAAAAUUACGAAUAAUCAUAAUCAGUAUGAGCAUAUUAAAAUACACACAAACCUUACCCGAAACAAAUAUGUCCGUUUUAAAUUUAUGGAUACAGAAAAUAUUUCUAAGAAAUUAUUAUUAUUAUUAAAAAUUAGUAUAUUUCAGAUAAUAAACUUAUGUAAAAAAUAUCAUAUAAACAUACAUUUGUGUCCAGACAUAUAUAUUAAAAUAAUUAAUAAUAAUAAUGAUAAUAAUAAUAAUAAUGAUAAUAAUAAUAAUAAUAAUNNNNNNNNNNNNNNNNNNNNNNNNNNNNNNNNNNNNNNNNNNNNNNNNNNNNNNNNNNNNNNNNNNNNNNNNNNNNNNNNNNNNNNNNNNNNNNNNNNNNAAUAAUAAUAAUAAUGAUAAUAAUAAUAAUAAUAAUAAUAAUAAUAAUAAUAAUAAUAAUAAUAAUAAUAAUGAUAAUAAUAAUAAUAAUAAUGAUAAUAAUAAUAAUAAUGAUAAUAAUAAUAAUAAUAAUAAUAAUAAUGAUAAUAAUAGUUUGCACUUGAACGAACAAUCAUCCGUGUAUUGUUCCUUUCCUUACAAAAAUUAUGACUCGUUAAUAAGUUUGGCUGAAAAAAACUUUAUUAAAAAGUAUGGAAAUAAGAUUGGCAAAUUGGGUAUGGCGCUGUUUGGAAAGGAGGGGGAAUUAGGUGAUGGUAGUGGUGGUACUAGUGGUAGUAGUGGUAGUGGUAGCAGUGGUAGUAGUGGUAUGGGUAGUGGUUGUAGUGGCAGUAGUGGUAAUAGUGGCAGUAGUGGUGAUAGAAACAGCGAUGACAGCACGGCUAGUCGUACCAGUGCUAAUGAAUUCAUAAAAUGUUUUAAUCCGGAUAGGUAUUCUGAACAUACUACAACACUCAAUGAAGAGCUACAAAACGUUACGACCAUUUGCAACGGAGUUACAGAAGAGUCAGGUAUAAUUAACAAUUGUCAUAACAAAACUGAUGAUAAUAUUGAUAAUAAAAAAAAAAAAGAAAUAAAUAAGAAUGGUGCU